rnacentral:ribozyme from 1 species
UCCGACACUGACUGCUACCUUGACGUGGUGGUAGGGCUUGCCCAUCGUGAUGACCCAAUCGAGCUAUAUUGGCUGAAACAUAUGUUCCUUUAGGUUCUACCGUUCCAGGCAGGUCAGUCGGAGAACAUUAAGACUAAAAGCAGC